ensembl:snRNA U1 U1 spliceosomal RNA
AUGCAUUACUCGGCAGGGGAGAUACCAUGAUCACGAAGGUGGUUUUCCCAGGGCGAGGCUUAUCCGUUGCACGCUGGAUGAGCUGACCUCUGUGAUUUCCCCAAAUGCGGGAAACUCGACUGCAUAAUUUGUGGUAGUGAGAGACUGCGUUCACACUCUCCCC